AUGAAGCUUCUCAAGUUUAAAAUAAGCAGGAUAAACUAAACUUUUACUACUUAGCUACUGCGUGUAGAGUAUGUAUUAGUUCACUAGAUGUACUGAAUCUCUCCUCUGGAUCUUCUGUUCAAUAUAUUAAAAUGUACCUAUAGCAUAGAAGUGCAGUAUUUAGUAAAGUAACUUCUACCUCAAUUUUUACAUCUUAUUACCAAAAUACUUGCAAAUUGAGAUAGAAUUGGUAGUGUCUUGGGAGGUUGUGCCUAAAGGACAUGUUCUGAAAUCUCUACUCUGAGAGUUUAUUAUUAUUCUUCAAAGACAGAAAAGUUGUAGUUGUCGUAUCUGCCUAGUCCAGUUGAAGCAUUUCUACCCAGUGUCUGCCUGCGCUUUUUAGAGAAGAAUUAACAAGUAACUUUUUACUACACUGAAAGUUGAAUAGUUUUUAUAACAUAAUUAAAAAAUAAGAAUAUUUCUCAAGAACUGUUUUAAUACAUUUGCUACAAAAUAGGAAUUCAUAGUGAGGAGAAUUUAGAAAUAUACUGUCCUCAUUAUCCAGGAACAGAUUAUAUUCGAAGUUUCUCAUGAUUGAUAAUAGGAUUUCAGUGGCAAGAAAGUUUGUCCCGCACUUUAAUUAGUUUAUUUCUUGAAUUUAAAACCAUGAAUUUUUAUUUGUCAUAUUUAAAGAUACACAUUAUUUUUAGUAGACAAGUCUCUGCUAAAGAUUCUGUUUCAGUACAUAAAAUCUCCUGAUCUUUGUCAGCUUUGUAUAUUUUUCAACAAGAGUGUUAAACAUGCUAUAACUUGAAUUCUUACAGGAAUUUAUAAGAUGUUUACUGUUAGCAUUAUUUGUUUUUAGAUGUUAAAAAGUUAGUUGCUGUUCUAAUAGUAGUAGUGCUUUUCUAAAAUAAAACUGCUAGUUUUAGCACAGUUCUUAAAAUACAAUGGAAUAAAAUACAAAAUAAAAGGGAUAGAGUUCUUCUAUAGUAAGCAAGAACUCUUAGUAUAGUAAGCAAGAAGUCUUAUCUUGAGCACUACAUAAACCAGGCAUGGUGGUACCUGCCUGUAAUCCAGCAGGUGGGAGGCGGAGGCAGGACGAUCAGAAUCUCAAAGUCAUCUUAAACCACAUAGCAAGUUUGAAGUCAGCCUGCAGUAAUGAGACCCUGUCUCAAAAGCCAGCCGUAUAAUCUGCCUGGGUUUCACCUAAAUGAUUCAGUGACGGUGCUUUAGAACAUAUUUGUUAUACUCUACCUUCCGAUGUCUCUCUCUCUCUCUCUCUCUCUCUCUCUCUCUCUCUCUCUCUCUCUCUCUCUUUUUCCUGUUCUUUUACAAAAUGGUUCUGUCUCGACUAAAUUACAUACGCUUAUACAUCAUAGUUAAAUAUAAAAUAUAUUCAUUUUAUCUAUCUAAAAGGUAGGAUAUUAUUUCAGUGCUUCCUAGUAGCCAGUUAGGUAACUUUUAAAGAAAUAGAAUAAUCAAUAUAUUCUUAGAACACCUCAUUGAUACACAGAGCCAUUUCUGACAUGAGUUUGUAUGUGGACGUUGUUUUAGGCCUGUUAAAUUAAAAGUAUUAUAUUCACAGUUACAACAUGAGCCACAGAUGAAAACUCUGCUUUCAAAUUAACGCCUUAACAUUUCAUAACUUUAACAUCUUUUCCUGCUACUUAACUAACCUUUAUGCUUCUUUUUCCUUUACCAUGCUUACAGAACAUUCAGGCCUACAGGGAAUGGAUUCUGACUCACAGUAGCAGUAGUGAGGAGGAGGAGGAGGAGGAGGAAGAGACUUAGUCAGAACUUAAUUGAGAAAGUGUGUAUGGUCCUUUGCAUUUCCCUGGAUUGUUUGUGUAUCUGCUGUCAGUCCAUCCAUGUGUCCAUUGUUAGGGACAAAAGUUAGCACUGUUUCCUUAGAACAUGUUUUUCUGACCAUCAUGAUAAAGCAAAGUAAUUUCUUUAUUUACAUACAGGAAAAUGUAUUUAUCAGUCAGAGUGUAGAGUAUAUCAUACAUUAUAAAUUUGCUUUUAUAUAUCCUAGCUUUGUAUCCCACAGUUUGUCAUUAAGAUCGGAAGUGAGAUUUAAAUGUAGUUUUAAUGUUCAUGAGCUCUACUCUAAAUCAUCUGCAUAUUUGUUAGAUGUCAAAACAUCUUUUUUAAAAUAAAAAUAUUGUGUGAAAUUUUGGGCUGUAAUGUAAUAUCAUUGUUUAAAGAAAAGAGAGGGCGGGAGAAAGCCUAGGAAUACCAUUGAAUGUUUUAUAUGUAUUUAGCACUUAAAGGCAUUUUGUCAAAUUUCUUUUCAUAAUAAACUUGCAUAACUUG
rnacentral:lncRNA from 1 species